AACGCACAUGGCACUUGCCACCUCGGUGGCAAGUAUACCUGUUUGAGAAUCGGUUCCAAUCCUGGCAUCGCCUUGAUGCCGACGUGGCUGCUCUCGAGCGAUCGAGUCGGCUCAAAUGGAGACGAGUGGGGCUGGCGAGACGUGCGUCUGCGCCGUGUGGUAAUGGACUAUGCGGUCCUCGAGCACGGAUGCAACGUGGGCGCGCGGCGAGCCGGCAUCAAAGCCCACACGAAGUGGUUGCACAACCCGUACGGAUGGAAGGCCGUGAUCAACGAUCUCAAAUCAGGCAAGGCUACCCGCUGAACUUAA
rnacentral:misc_RNA from 1 species